CAGGUAGGGUGGCCGAGUAGGUGGCAAGCUGUAGUCUUGCUUACGGGGCCGUGCCCCCCCCAAGCCC
rnacentral:tRNA from 1 species